rfam:Paenibacillus naphthalenovorans strain 32O-Y, complete genome.
GGCGGCGUAGCUCAGCUGGCUAGAGCGUACGGUUCAUACCCGUAAGGUCGGGGGUUCGAUCCCCUCCGCCGCUA